CUUGGGAAAUUACACACAGAGAAAAAUGUUUCUGAUAAUUCGUAGACGAACUAUUGACAUGAUUAAUACAACAAUUUCUUGAUCAAUCAUGGAUUCAAUGUUCGUUCUGUUGAUAACCCCGGACGAACAGAACGUCACGUCCUUGACCGAAGAUGAGCUGCAGCAGCUGGACAAACUGAAACAGGACUUGAGGAUUAUAUUCCUGACCAUCCCAUUCUUUCUCUUAGCCUUUGGAAUACCAGGGAAUAUCCUAACCAUCAUGGUGCUAAGAAGCCGGUCGAUGAUACAUAUUUCUCUCUUACUCACUCAGGGAAUAUCCUAACCAUCAU
rnacentral:sRNA from 1 species